UACGGAGGGGGGCUAGCGUUGUUCGGAAUUACUGGGCGUAAAGCGCACGUAGGCGGCUUUGCAAGUCAGAGGUGAAAGCCCGGGGCUCAACCCCGGAAUAGCCUUUGAGACUGCAUCGCUUGAACAUCGGAGAGGUAAGUGGAAUUCCGAGUGUAGAGGUGAAAUUCGUAGAUAUUCGGAAGAACACCAGUGGCGAAGGCGACUUACUGGACGAUUGUUGACGCUGAGGUGCGAAAGCGUGGGGAGCAAACAGG
rnacentral:rRNA from 1 species